CGGCGGACGGGUGAGUAACACGUGGAUAACCUACCUAUAAGACUGGGAUAACUUCGGGAAACCGGAGCUAAUACCGGAUAAUAUUUUUAACCGCAUGGUUCAAAGGUGAAAGACGGUCUUGCUGUCACUUAUAGAUGGAUCCGCGCUGCAUUAGCUAGUUGGUAAGGUAACGGCUUACCAAGGCAACGAUGCAUAGCCGACCUGAGAGGGUGAUCGGCCACACUGGAACUGAGACACGGUCCAG
rnacentral:rRNA from 1 species